AUGUGCUAUAGAGUCUAUGAAUCGAAGGUGUCAAAAGCAAAUAGACAGCGGAACAAGACGACGGCCAGGACUAACUGCGGGGCUAAAAUGAGGCUGAAGAGGGAAAAGGAUGGAACACUUGUCGUAAAAGAGAUAGUCUGGGAACACAACCACAGGCUACAACUCACCCCCCCCCAAAUGAUUGUCUUCUUGCACUCCCACAAAAACUUUGACAAAACAAUCUUGGAGUACGACAAGUUCUUGCAGUUCAAAGGCAUUGAACACGCGAAAAUCAUGUGCAUACUGGGCAGUGAUGACCCCGGUAGCUACUUCCUCGAAAUGAAUGCCAAAGACCUGAUUAACCUCAAAGCAAAGAAUUCAAGGAUGGAUGAUGUGGACGAUGUCCUAAAGACUGUCAACUUAUUUAGGGAUAUGAAAGCUAUAAACAGGGAAUUCUUCUAUGACAUUUGGGCGAAUGCAAGCUGCCGAGGGGCGUAUCAGGACUUCAGUGACUGCGUAACGUUUAACACCUCAUAUAAGACCAACAAGUACCAUAUGCCACUUGUGUUUGUGGGUACUAACAACCACUUACAGACAACAUUCUUUGGUUUCACCCUGAUAAGAGAUGAGGAUGGAGAUUCAUUCAGAUGGCUGUUCAAGACAUUUUUAAGGUGCAUGAGAGGGAAGGCUCCUACAUGCAUCCUCACAGACCAGUGCCCUAUAAUGGCUUUAGCGAUCCCAGAUGCUUUCAAGAACACAGUACACAAGCUGUGCUGAUUGCACAUUAUGAAGAAGUACAGGGAACACCUCGCAUACCUGUACAACCUGCACAAGGACUUUGAGGAUGAAUUCACAUCAAUCCUCAACUGGCCCCUCAUGCCAACUGAGUUUGAGGCUGCCUGGAAAAGACUCAUGGAUAGGUACAACCUCCAUGAUGAUGCCACGAUGGUGGGCAUGUGGAACGAGCGUGAGAGAUGGAUAUCAGCCUACUUCAAAGAAAUUUUCUGCGCCAAAAUGACAUCCACACAACGAGGAGAGAGCAUGAACUAUGUGCUGAAGAACAACUUCAUAAGUGAGAGAUAAAACAUUCACCGGUUUGUCAGCCAGGUAAACCCCUGCGUCAAAACCAGGAGGCAGACAGAGAACCAGGAGACAAUGGGUAACCGGGUAUAG
rnacentral:rRNA from 1 species